CCUGGUUGAUCCUGCCAGUAGUCAUAUGUUUUUCUCGAAGAUUAAGCCAUGCAUGUGUAAGUAUGAACUAAUUCAGACUGUGAAACUGCGAAUGUCUCACUAAAUCAGUUAUAGUUUGUUUGAUGGUACCUGCUACUCGGAUAACUAUAGUAAUUCUCGAGCUAAUACAUGCAACAAAUCCCAACUUCAGGAAGGGAUGCAUUUAUUAGAUAAAAGGUCGACACGAGCUCUGCUCGUUGCUGCGAUGAUUCAUGAUAACUCAAUGAAUCGUACGACCCUCGUGUCGGCGAUGCAUCAUUCAAAAAUUUUCCCCAUCAACUUUCGAUGGUAGGAUAGUGACCUACCAUGGUGGUGACGGGUGACGGAGAAUUAGGGUUAGAUUCUAGAGAGGGAGCCUGAGAAACGGCUACCACAUCCAAGGAAGGCAGCAAGCGUGCAAAUUACCCAAUUCUGACAUAGGGAGGUAGUGAUAAUAGAUAACAAUACUGGGCUCUUCGAGUCUGGUAAUUGGAAUGAGUACAAUCUAAAUCCCUUAAUGAGGAUUUAUUGGAGGUAAAGUCUGGUUCCAGCAGCUUCAGUAAUUCCAACUCCAAUAGCGUAUAUUUAAGUUGUUGCAAUUAAAAAGUUCAUAGUUGGACUUCGGGUUGGGCCGGUCGGUCCUUCUUCUGGUGUGCACCAGUCGUCUCGUCCCUUCUGCCGGCGAUGCGCUCUUGGUCUUAACUGGUCGGAUCAUGCAUCCGACAUUGUUACUUUGAAGAAAUUAGAGUGCUCAAAGCAACCCUAUGCUCUGGAUACAUUACCAUUGAUAACAUUAUAGGAUUUCAGUUCUAUAACGUUAGCCUUCGGGAUUGGAGUAAUGAUUAAUAGGGAUAAUCGGGGGCAUUCAUAUUUCAUAUUCAGAGGUAAAAUUCUUGGAUUUAUGAAAGACGAACAACUGCGAAAGCAUUUUCCAAGGAUGUUUUCAUUAAUCAAGAACAAAAGUUGAGGGCUCGAAGAUGAUCAGAUAUUGUCCUAGUCUCAACCAUAAACGAUGCUAACCAGGGAUUGGCGGAUGUUGGUUAAAGGACUCCACCGGCACCUUAUGAGAAAUUAAAGUCUUUGGGUUUCGGGGGAGUAUCGCCGCAAGGCUGAAACUUAAAGAAAUUGAUGGAAGGGCACCACCAGGAGUGGAGCUGCGGCUUAAUUUGACUCAACACGGGGAAACUUACUAGGUCAAGACAUAGUAAGGAUUGUCAGACUGAGAGCUCUAUCUUGAUUAUAUAUGUGGUGGUGCAUGGCCGAUCUUAGUUGGUGGAAUGAUUUCUCUAGUUAAUUCCAUUAACAAACGAGACCUCAGCCUGCUAACUAGCUAUGCGGAGGUAUCCCUCCGUGGCCAGCUUCUUCGAGGGACUACGACCUUUUAGGCCGCAAAAGUUUGUGGUAAUAACAGGUCUGUGAUGCCCGUAGAUGUUCUGGGCUGCACGUGCACUACACUGAUAUAUACAAUGAGUUUAUAGCCUCAGCCGACAGGCCUGGGUAAUCUUUAAAAUUUCAUCGUGGUGGGGAUAGAUCAUUGCAAUUGUUGGUCUUCAACAAGGAAUUCCUAGUAAGCGCGAGUCAUCAGCUCGCGUUGACUACGACCCUACCCUUUGUACACACCAACUAUCACUCCUACCGAUUGAAUGGUCCAGUUAAGUAUUCGGAUUGAGGCAACAUGGGCGAUUCGCCGCCCGCGAUGUAGCGAGAAGUCCACUGAACCUUAUCAUUUUAAGGAAGGAGAAGUCGUAACAAGGUUUCCGUAGGUGACCCUACGGAAG
rnacentral:rRNA from 1 species